UAGCCUCCGUUUGUUUCGGGGUUAAAAAAAAAAUAACUAUUUCAGAAAUAGAAUUAAGUUCAGAAUUAAAGUGGGAUUAAAAUUUUUUUAUAUUUGAUUAGGGAUUGCAGUUAGUUUAGAAUAAUAAAAAAUAAUGUUUGGUUGAAAUAGGUGGGAUAAAAAGAUAAUGAUUGAUUGGAGUAGGUAGGAUAAGAAAUAUAGUGGGUUAUUAUGAAUAGAAAAUAGUGUUUGGUUGGAGUUUGGUGGGAUUAGCUAAUCCGGAAUAAUUUAUUUGAGGUGGGGUUAGAUAGGGUUAGCUAACCCCACCCAUUUUUUGAGGUGUUUGGGAAUAAUAUGGGGGUUAAGAGGUUAUUCCACCCCUUAACCCCCAACCAAACAAGGGCUUAUGGUUUAUUGUUGUUGUUGUUGCUGCUGCUGCUUUUUGUUUUUGUUUUUUUUUUUUUUUCUUAAGAAAUAGGUAGCAUAUUAUCAACUUUGUUUAUUUCAUUUGGAAAUAAACUUAGCUGAAAAUGUGAAUCAACUAGGAUUCGAACUUGGAAUCUCGAAUAUCAAUCACCAAACGUUUUGCCACUUACUCUAAAAACGGUCGGUAUUAU
rnacentral:lncRNA from 1 species